GCGCCCGCUUCUCGCUGGAGUGCGCACCGAGCGGCAGUGACUUCGCCGCUGCUGUAGUUCCCCGGCUGGAUGCGGUGACUGGUGCCAGUGCUCAGGCGCCCGCUGCCCUUGACCUCCCGCCCCGCGAGCCCUAACUCAGCGCAGGAGGACCGGCUGCCGCCGCCGCCGCCGCCAGGAGGUAGAUUGGGAAGUGGAGCUGGCCGUGGUCAUUGGAAAGAAAGGCAAGCACAUCAAGGUGAAGUGGAAAAGGCCACAGAUGCCAUGGCCCACGUGGCCGGCUUCACUGUGGCUCAUGACGUGAGUGCUCGUGACUGGCUAACAAGAUGCAAUGGGAAACAGUGGCUGCUGGGAAAAACCUUCGACACCUUCUGCCCUCUGGGCCCUGCCUUGGUGACCAAGGACAGUGUAGCAGAUCCACACAACUUAAAGAUCUGCUGUCGAGUGAAUGGGGAAGUGGUCCAGAGCAGCAACACCAACCAGAUGGUAUUCAAGACAGAGGACCUGAUAGCCUGGGUGUCCCAGUUUGUUACCUUUUACCCAGGGGAUGUCAUCCUGACUGGGACCCCCCCACCUCCACCCAGGUGUCGGUGUAUUCAGGAAACCUCCUGUCUUUCUCAAGGUCUCUGAAGGUCCAGACAGCACUGAUGGCGAGCUUUGGGUCCGCACACUCUGGAAAGAAGAGAGAAGUGAAGGCUCUAGGGGGCAGCAGCCACCAGCAAACACCACUGCCUGCAGGAGCCUGGGCUGACUGGUUGGGACUCACCGAAGAUCCCUUCUUCCUGGGCGGUGGCCUGCAGGAACUGGAACAGCUGCUCUGUGUAGCCCAACUCUGCAGAAGAGAGAAGACCUAGACCUGGCACCCAGCACAGACACAGCCUGCCUCGAGGACUGCAAGGGAACAAGGGCCUCACCAGUAUCGGGCAGCUGGCCCUGGCGGAGGAAGGCGGCAGCCUGUGCAAAGGCCUUGAGCAGCGGGCUGAGCAGGCGGCAGAGGAAAAGAAAGAAAUCUGGGCAGUGUGACUGCUGGCUGAGCUGGAGGGGACAGGCCGGGGUGAGUGCAGCUCCCCACCGCCUCCCUACCACCUCCCUCCAGGGGCAGCUUUUUGAAACACACCCUGAAGUACCGGCCGUCAGCCUCUCCGAAGUCAUCACUGUCACUAUCAGUAAAGUCCCCACUCGGUUUCCACAGCA
rnacentral:lncRNA from 1 species